UUUUUUUUUUUUUUUUUUUUUUUUUGGUUUUGGGAAGGAGGAACGAAGGGGUGCUCUUGUUAUUUGCUGGGGUUUGUUACCUGGGGAAAAGAAAGGAAUGAUGAUGAGUUGAUGCUUCGGGUGGAAAACGGACAGGUAAAUGUGUGUGGCUUUUCGUUUUGGAGAGAGAGAGAGAGAGAGAGAGAGACUGUUAUGAGGACAUUGAGGAGCACUGGAGUGUGGUACCGGUAGCCGGUAGGGGCGUGUGGUGUGGUGCGUGUGUGUGUGACUGCGUGAGAGUGGAUUCCUUGGGGAUGGGAGUGGAGACUGACGAUGAGUCCGUAUGCCUGGGAAGACGAACAGAGACGUGGCCGGAUAGGGGAAAAAUUUUAGUUGGACUUGGAGCGGAUUCAUCAUUCAAUUCUCAACUGAUUCAUUUCAUCUUACACUUUUCAACUAUCUGAGACACUUUUGUCCUCAAAUUGUAAAAUUUAUCUCACUUUGAGAUACAUUUUAGGGCUAAGUACAAAGUAUAUUUUAGGGACUGAAUUGGAAGAAAUUUUAUACAUUAGAGACUCAAUGACCAAGUUUUAUACUUUAAAAAUUGAAGUAUAACGAAUUUUAUAAUUUAGAAACUGAAGCGUCUUAUUUUGAAAUUUAAGAAUCAGAGUGAAAAUUCAAAUUUAAUUAAAGGGUACAAAGUGGAAUUAACACAUUCUCGAUCAUGGGGUGAAAAUUAAAUCAUGUAAGUUAACAUUUUAUUUAUAAAGUGAUGUUUUAGAAUUUCGACGGUCAGUGUGGAAUUCAAUUAAAUCAAGCGACUUUCAAUUUGUGCUAAAAAAGAUUGAUUGGUUCAUUCUUUUUUUUUUUUUUUGUCAAAAGAUUGAUUGAUUUGUUUGCUGUGCAAGAUUGUGAGAUGCAAACUACGAGGAUGUUCAUUAUUAUUUUUUUGUGGGAAGGAUUCAUUGUGGUAUUUUCCUAGCAAAUUCUCUAAUACUACAAUUUAAUGAUUUAUCAGCCCACAAAUAAAAAGUUUCAAUUGAUAUGACUGGUGUUUAAUCCUCUUUAAAAAGAAAUUACAACUAAUAGACCGAAUUUACCACAUUUAUAAUUUCGACCGAGUGAUGACAGGAUCGUACGUUCGCAGUUGGGGCUUCUCAAAUAAAAAACAACAAAAACAGGACUCCGGCCCCCAGCCAGGAAAGCGUAGGCUCGUAGCUGGGGCAUUUGGUAAGUGGCAACGUGUGCUAAAUUAGUGUGCAUAUUAGCCUUACUUUCACGAGGAGGCGCGUGGACUGUACGUGAUGAGUUUGUAAUUUGAAAGGUGGUAAAAUAUCUCCCUACUUCCACUUUUCCAUCUUUUGUCUGUUUUUACUACUGUAAAUUAAAGCAUGUCUGCAGGCAUCUGAUUCCUUCAUAUAUAGGUUUGCUCAUUCAUGGCCUUGCAUUUGGUGACGUCUGUUGGUCGGGUCCUUUCGAAGACAGAAUUGCUUUUUGGUUUGGUGUUUAAGAGGAAACUUCAUAGCAAAGAGGUUGAAAGCUAAGGAAGAAUUCUUGUUCCAUGCAAUGCAUGGUAGGAAUGUGGCACCUAAUUCUCUGUAUUUUGGGUGGCUGUAACUAAGCAACUAAAAGGUAUCUCCUGCCUCAUCAUGUGGGUCCAUUACCAUAUAAAAGGGCUAAAAGUAAUUUAUUUUGGUUCAUUGUAAGAUGAAUAACAGUAGUGUCAAAUUAUUAUACCUACGUCGUUUCCGUAAUCACAUUCUCCUAUUAUCUUUUUCCCUCACACACAUCAAAUCGCUAAAGUAAUUUUUUCAUAAAAAAUUAUGAAAAAUACAAUCCAAACACAAUUUCAGAAUAAUCUAUGCCGUAGUGCUGUUUGUAGAACACAUGUCACGAGUAUAUACUUGUUAUAUGUAAAUCCCAAUUAAACUCAACUAAGUUCUAAGCCUUACGUAUAGGUGCUGAACAUUAAUUCAUUAAUUUAUUUGAGUCCCUUGUGCUAAGUCAAAAAGAGAUCAAACUUGAAUUUUGAUCCACUUAAUUUAUUAUUAUUAUUUACAAAUAAUCGGCUUUGUUUGGAUUGGGCUUUAUUUCUCAAAAUUUAUUUGCUUACAUCAUCAUUACAAUUUCCAAUACACCUUUUUACCUUUCCAAUUACCUUUUUUAUCUCACAUAUAUCACAUCACAAAAAAUGCUACAGUAAAAAUAUCUCUAAUAAUUCACAAUCCAAACAGACCUGAUAUUUUGCUCUCCAUUUUUAUUAUACAAGAAAAUUUUAAAUAAAAUUAACUGUGAUCAUCAUCACAAAUCAAAUCAAUGUAUGUCCUAAAAAUCUUGGAUCGCCUGCAUGAAUUUAGAAAAAAAAAAGAAAAAAGUGAUCCGCGCUGCCACUGCCGGUCGAGGCGACAUAAGUUGGCACACGCAUCCUGCUCUCGUUUCUCAGUUUCCGGUGAACGAGUCUCCGGAGGCGCAUCUUGUGAAGCUUCUGAGGAAUCACGCUCGCUAGUGGUAGGUCCCUAAAGCGCGUGAAAUGGCAGAGAAUUUUGGGGACCUCAGCGCUUUCUUUCUUGUUUCUAGUAUAACAGUAAAAGAAGAUCGCAAAAAAAGCUGACAUUUUGAUUUCCUACAGCAGAAAAAGUUAACAAAACAACUGUACAAGGUUUGUUAUAAUUAUAAAAUUGUACGUAGUCAUUGCUAAGUAACCCUGGUGGUUUUAUAUCACAACGACUUACUGCUAAUAAUUGGAAUCAACUACAAGCGAAAAUGGAAUUUGUUUUCACCUGUUUAAAUUGUUAUUUUUUGAAAUUUUUAUAAAAAUAUUAUACAUACAUAUAUAAUUUGAUGCACGUAAAAUAAAAAAAUUAUUAACAAAUGCAUUUAAGAAAAAUGUAAAAGUUUUUCAAUAAAUAGAAAAUUGCAAUCUAAACACCGCCACCUUGGUAAGAAGAUUAUCCAUUUCAUUCUUUGGAGUUUGGAGGGAGGGGAGAGGAAUAUCAUGGUCAUGGAACUGGUUGAAUCCCUCGCCUAAGAGUAAGACCAAGCAUGCAAAUAAAAUCAACAAGUCUCGGUCAUAUGAAAUUAUUUGGGUAUACAUGCAUUUAAUUUCGGCUAGCCUCGCAUAUGGAGUGAUGAAAAAUUGCUCCGUUAGAGAAAAUACCUGUGCAGUAAUUCAUCUUUGAUUUCAUUGUCCGACUCGUACUGGGAAAGAGCAAAGCCCAAGCUGAAGAUUACAGUGGAGAUCUAGAAUUUAUGUAAGCCCUCUUUUGCUGGCUGUUCAUUUAACUUACUUGUACCGAGGCCCUUGUCUUAACAUUUUGUCAGGAAGCCAGUGAACGCUACUCUCCUCUCCUCCUCGAGUCUUUUUUUCAACCAUCUAAACCCAAAGCGGCAUCCUGCUUUUUGCAGCUGUUUGCUAAUUGCUUAAUUAAUUGUACGGAAGUACUUCUUCAUUUUGUCACGGAGCCGUAACGCGCUUCUCUUCCUCCUCGAGCCUUUUCAGCCAGCUAAAACCAAGGUCGCAUCCUCCUUUUGCAGCUAUUUCAAAUUGAUCUCUCGCCAUCUCAAGUGGAUUAAGCUCGCUCCUUUCCCCCUUAUUUCUUUGUAUUCUGGUCAGGGAUCUCCUUUUUGUACUAAAUCUUUUUAGCGAUUCUGGAACUUCCGCACCUGAAAAAUGACAUCAAUUUCAUGCUUAAGGUAAUUAAAUUAAAGUUUAGUAACAAUAAAUGCGCUUCAUCAGAAUGAGUCAACAGAGCAGGGAAAGAAAACUUCCCAGCUGAAUCCCAUGUUACAUUUGUUACUCAAAUGUUUGCGACAAAUAACCUCCUGAACCAUGUAGAUUAGAUUAUAGAAAUGUUAUCGUUGCUUUAUAAAAAAAAAAAAAAAAAACCUCCGGAACCGUGUCAAUCUCUUAAAGGCAAAUAACCAAACAGUUUCUUUCUCAACCAAAUUAUGUACAUCACAAUAUUUUCCACCAAUAUAGUAAAUCAAAGCACAAGGCUGAAAAAGAACAAGGGCAUCUUGCCUCUAAGAAGCAGGGACCCAUACGCUAUGGCGGCUCCAGCAUGACCCUGCAGAAAAGUUGACAGCACAGUGGAGAAAGUUCAGCAUAAUUUCUGAUAAGGAUAAUUCCCACAGGUGAAAAGUUAGUCAAAGUUUCUUAUUGACCCUUUAAUCACUAAUUAACAGUCUAAGAUCUCAUAUAGGAUACCAUGAUGCCUGUUUGCACUAUGCAACAGACAAAACAAAAUAUUUGCUUUGUGCUUACAAAAUACACACACAUGUAUGUUUUUGCUUUGCCAGAUCACUUUGCAAGAAAUUGGCGGAAGAAUGGUACUUCAAUUUUUUUUUUUUUUUUCAAAGCAUCAUGACUAAGUAAUUACAAGUUGCACUACAAGAAGCAGAUAGAUGAAAGUUAUUACCCUCUCAGAAGCCCUAUGGAAACACCAUAUAGCAGAUGCAACAUCUUUCUUCACACAAUCUCCAGUCAAAUAGACAGCACCUAAGAGGUAAAGAGCACCUGGAUGCAACUAGAUAUGUAGACAGCUUUGAUAAGCAUAUUUGGCAGACUGUAACUAGGCUAUGGUAUAAGAAUAAUAUCUAGCACAACAUACCUGGUCGACUGCCUUCUCUAAAUAGUAGAAAGCCUGUUGAUCUGAUUGAACAUAGUCAUUCUGUGAAAAUCAGUUCAGUCAGCAACGCAAUUACACACAUAUCAGCCAAAAUAUUUUUGGGUUUCAACUAGUGCUUGUCAAUCAAAUACACCAUUUCUUGAACUAAAAUGCUAACAUGCACAAUUCUAUGCACAUGAAAGCUAACCUCAACUCUGAGUCGGCAACCUAAUUCAUAUUGCGCAUCUUUAUCACCCAUGUCAGCAGCUUCCACUAACAAAGCAGCUCCUCUGUUGUGAUUGAAGAAAAACAGUAAGACAUGUCCAUGAAGAUGAAAUAGCAGAAAUAUAAGAGAAAUGAAUAUGGUUUCACAUGAAUAGCACAACUCCGUGGAAAUUCAAUGGACAAAACAUGUAGUCGAUCAUUUUUUGUCUUUAGAAUUGGAAAUCAAUUCUAAAUGUCCAAAUGAAGAUAAAUUGUGGAAUUUAUUCGAUAAAUUUCAAAGCAAAGAAUUCUAGUUCAAUGAAAAACAUAUGGCAAAGAAAUACAUAACUAAUCAUAUAACAUACUUAUUAUACACACUCUCUCCAUUUCCAAAUGGAUCGUUUAAGAGGGAAAGUACAACAUCCUAUCACAAAACGGGUGUGCAAAUGCAUCUUGGACUAUAAUAACUGGUCAACAUCACACUAAUCAUUACAAUUGUUUGGAAAAAACAAAACAACAGAAUUACAAUUGGACUUUUUUAAGACAAUGAUUUUGUGUUGGUUACCAAUAUUUAAAACCUGAAAGCAUCAAUCAUAACAGAAGAAAAAAGAAAAAUCAAAAUUAAAGGCAAAUUGGAAAAGUUUAGGUUCUUACAUAGCUUUACAUGCACCAGGGGCAUGAUAUUUCAGAUGCAGUUUUGACAACCAAUAUCUUGCAUGGGUGUUUGAGUUGUCAGCCUCUAGGGCCAAUUCAAAGUUCUCCUUUGCUGUCUAAUAUAACACCGUAAAAGAGUAAAAAUUUGCAAAACAAUGUGAGAUCUCUAGGGCACAGAAAAUUCUCAAUAUAAAAAUAUACAACUAUAUCUUCUAGUUGGAAAUAGAGACAGUAUAGUUUCAGGAAUACCUCCCCCCUCGCCCACCCCCCCCCCCAACAACCAAAAAUACCAAAAAAAAUAAAAAUAAACAAGAGGAAAAAGAACUACAAAGAGAAAUAAAAAGUUAUGCAGGAAAAAAUGGUCAAUCAUGGGAUAUCUCCACUUGCUUCUAUUUCUAAGAUCUUUCAUUUACUUAAACAAGCCUGACAUAAUCUCAUUUAGCUAAUGAAUUACAAUCUCUUACAAAUGUGUUCGCAAACAUCUUAGUCCCCAACGCUACACGAGUAAAUGAGUGAAAAUAAAAUCCUACCUAAGUUCAGCCUUGGAAAUUGUGCAUAUAAAUUUUAUUACUCCUAAUUUAUGAUUAAUAAUGAUAGGGUGAUUAUUAAUGAUGUCCUUUCUAGGGUUGUACGGGACAUUGGCCAGGCAGAAGAGACAAUGAGAUUAAGAACUACUGGAACUCUCAUUUGAGUAGAAAACUGCACAAAUUCAAGAAGUCAGAUAGCAAAAGUAGUCCACCACCAGGUCCACCACAACCAGCAGCAGAGGUGAUGGAUUUAGUUAAGCAUGGAGGCAAAGCAUUAAAGAAGCGAAAAGCCAGUCAAAUGAAUCAAUCCAACAUGAGGAAGAACAGAAGGAGCACCAAUCCAUCACAAUCAAAAGAAUUAACGGGACUGGCUGAUGCAAUGGUUCAAAUGCCGCGUACCCCAACACUUGAUAAAGAGACUUUGUCUAGUGCAGUCUCUUGGGAAGAUGGAGAUACGAGUAAAACUCAUGGUUUCCAGUAGUAUUAUGAUGGAACCAUGCCCCAAAAAAGAGACCAGAAAAUUUGGCAAGCACUACUAGAACCAGUGAUGUAUGCACCCCUGAAGACGGAGAAACCAAGAGCAGUGUGAUGUUGCAACUUGAAGGUGAACUGAUGACAAGGGGUUCUGAUGGAGUUGUGGAAUUAUCCACAAAGGCCAAUUUGGAAGAAAAGGCCAAAAGGAAAAAAAACUACUUACUCUGUAGUCAGAGCAAGAGAAACCAAAAAGGACAAUUUGGAAGACUAUCAUCACAUCUAUGGCUGUAUCAUCAGUCCUAUGGUUGACUAGAGUGAAUCAGAUGUUAAAAUAAUCCAAUUCCAAUGUCCAGAUCUUGAAGGUUCAUAGCAAAAAAUUCCACCAAGAUAAAUUCAAUAUCAACAGAUAAAAGUGACUUAUCAGAAUUUUAUCAAAAUAUCCAAAAGAAAAUGUUUAACCAAGAUCAGGAAAGAAAUUUAUCAGCUAAAAGUUUUGCGUUAUCUUCAAUGCAUCAAUCGCACAGUAGACAUUUAUGCAGAGGAAAUGCUGCAAAAUCCUCUGCCACUUGUCUACAAGCUACCAAAUGUAAGGAUGGGAAUAACACAAUUGAUGUACUUAAAUAUGAAUGCAGUGAGAAUACUUGAUCAAACUUACCCUAAGCAUAGGGAUGAGACGGUGGUCAUUAAGAUCACAAUAAUCUAUCACUCUAUCAACUUCCUUCAGAGCAUUCCAUCCUUUGGCAAUGAACUCCAUUGCUUUCUUGUUUCUACUAUGCAUGCCUCUCUGUCAAGUAUAACAAGUUAAGUCUAGGUACUACAACUCAUAUAACUCCUCCUGCUAGUAUUGCAAACUUACUUGAGAAUUGAACUGGGAAAAAUGAAGGCUAUUCCUUGUAGAAGCCGUCUUUGAGAGCAGUAAUCUCAUCAUCUUUUCCGUGUCUGCACUUGGAAAAAAAAAUGAAUGUACUAAGAUCCAGACACUGGAGCAAACACCAUAACCUUUCUAUUUGCCAACAUCAACGCUAUGCACAUAAGAUGCAAACAAAAACUUUGGCUUCCCUAAUAAAUGAAUUUAAAAAUAUGACAUACUUGUACAUUGAAAUGCAGAGAGGCAAGGAAAACGGGAAAAGUUAAAAGAGAUAUUCAGGCAUAAUAAUUUCUAGUAAUGCAAGCCUUAUCUCGACCUCACCUCAGGCACCCCAACCCCAAUUAACAAAUGUCCACCUCGCUAGUUCAAUGCAUUUUUUCUCACUCCCGUGCUUUUUUUUCUUUUUUGGAUCGUCCAAUACAUUUUUCUUGCUCCUGUGUUUUUUGUUAUUUUUUUCUCCUCCUCCUUUUAAACACCACAAAAUCUUAAGCAAGAGGUGAGCUACUGCACUGGACUGGACAUAACCACAAACACCUAACGCGCAUUAUAUGAACUGCACCUACGCAUACAAGGAAAAAAAUUUCCCUAGUUCCUCAUUUGAUACAACGCGAUAAUAAUACCUUUAGGUUGUCUCUCUCCCUGGCUUUUGAGACUUCAAUGGCGGAAUGAUAUCUUACUUACUAGGCGCUCAGCUCAGCCGCCAUCAGCUUCUUGUUUCGCUGUUGGUACAGAAGAAGAAAAGGAGGAGAAAAGAGUUCGUAUGGACGGAAGGGCAAAUUUGGCGGAUAAGAUGAUGAGCUAACCUUCACGGAAAUGAUCGGGUUUACUAUUUCAUUAUUCAACAGGUGCUCUGCAUUUGUAAAAUUAGGCCCGGCUCAUGAUUCAUGGGUUCCAAAGUCGAUUGGCCGCAGUCUUGCUGGGAUUUGUUGGGCACUUGGUCUACUACUGACAGUGACACUGCUCGACUCCCAAGACGGCAUUCCUUUGACACUUGUAAUGUUGUACUACUAAUUGCUGUAUCCUCUUUUGUAAACCGACAUCUUUUCCUAGGCCGGAAACCAUCCCUCAUUGGCCCAAAAUUAGCCAUAAACAAUCUGGAUGUCGUAAUCCAUGCACCUUUUGGAUAUAAACUCAUACAAUCUUAUUAUAAAAAAUUAAAUUAAUUAACGGAUAUAAUUAAAUUUAUGUAAAAUUUAUAGUAAUUACAACAAAAUUAUACAAGUUUUUUUCAAAUUUAGUAAAAAUUACGCGAAGUAGUCUGAACAGGAACUCAGGAGACGCUGGAUGCAAAGAAUCGAUUAAUCCAAAGAGUUUUUCCCUUUUUUCAUCCUAAGGUUAGUAAACGAGAUUAGGGUGAUGCUGAGCAAGUAGUUCAACUCGAAACCGCGAGCUAUUCUGUCAACAACAGCUUGAUUCAAUCUCGUUUUGAUUGAAUUUGAGCUGCUUGUCUGAUCCCGUGAGUCGAGUUCGAAUUUCAAUAUUUUGUAUCUGAAGAUUGGAGGAGUCUAAUCAAGCUUUUUAUUAUUUAUAUAUAUUUAAUUUUUAUAUUUAUUAUUAUGAAAUGUCAAUAAUAUUAUUUAUUUAAAGUUACAUGUAAAACGCUAAUUUUUAUCACGUAAGUUUGAUUAAACUCGAUUAUGUUCGAAUAGAUUCGAAAUUAAAUUUAAUUAAAUUCAAACUUGAGAUCAAGUAAUAUAAAUUGAAAUUGAAUUCAAGCUUCGCUUCUAAAAAUUCAAUGAGUUCGAACUUAAUUAUUUUAUCUCGAAUAUUGCACUGUUUGAAUUCGACUCGUCAAAUAAAAUGAGUAGAAAAAAUCUGAAUUGGGGUCCCACGUUAAUAUUCCACGCCACCUGCCCAUGAGCCACGAAGAGAUUGCUCUUCUUUAACGUGUUUAAAUGGCUAAGUCUGAUUGGGACAAGGGAGAUACUGAACUUUCGUAAUAAUGGCCUGUUUGGAACCUGAGUUUUUUGGGAGUUUGUCUAAAACUUUACCAUAGUACACUAUAGAAGUUUUUGAAAAAAUUUUGUAGAAGUUUUUGUAAGGUAAAAAACUUUUUUUUUCUUUUUUUUUUCCUUUUCUUUUUUUUUUCUCUUUCCCUUUCUUUUUCUUUUUCUUUCUUUCCCUUUUCUUUUCUUUCCUCUCUUUUUCUUCUUCUUCUUCUUCUCCGUCACCUCCGCACCCCCAGCAGCUCCCUCCCCCCUGCUGCCCCGCCUUCCCCCUCCUCCCGCCACCUGCCCCUUCCCCCCCCCUCCGCCACCUUCUGCCCCUUCCCCUCUACCCCGCUGCCCCCCCUCUGCCCCGCCUUCCCCUUUCCCCCGCCGCCCUCUCUGCCCCCCCUCCCCCGCCGCCCCCCUUUGUGCCCCCCUCUGCGUCGGACGUAGAGAGAAAAAAAAAAAAGACAAGAGAGGAUGAUGGCAGGGGAGGAAGAGGGGGGGAGGGAAAAAGGGGGAAAAAAAAUUCUUGUCCGGCACCGGAAAUUGGUGACGGAGCCGGCAAUGGAGGUGGUGGUGGGGGAGGAAGAAGAAGAAAAGGGGAAAGGAAUUUUUUUUUGUUGUGUUUUGGAUAUUUUAAGUGUGUAAGUUAAAAAUUUUUGAUAAAUUUUUUGGGGUUCCUGCAACAAAAGUUGUUAAAAAACUAGUUUUAUACAAACAUGGUGAAAAACCAAGCUUCCAAACAGGGUUAUCACUCUUGAAAAAAAGGAAAGUCAAAGGUCAAAAUUAGUGCAAAACUAAAUGGUCAAUACAAGAGCAAAAGUGAAGGGACAGAAUUGCCAUUUACUAAUUGCUUUGUCAGCAUCGCUAACAUCACCGCGUUUUAAUAUAAUCUAACUUCCAAAAACAGCGAAUUUCCCGGCAUUACAAAUAUCAAGCUAAGGCCUUCCCUUGUCGCUCCAACAAACACCAAAUAGGCAAGUAACCAGCUCUGCUAAAAAUAUUUGAAUAUCCCAAAUAUCGGAAGACAAGAUGGGGGCAGUCAAUAUCUGGAACGCCAUCGAAGUUGCAGAGAGCCAUACCUCUGACAUUCCGUCGUCUUCCCUCACCAUCGACCACUCCCUACCGCCUUCCGAUAUGAAGCCGCGGAUCGUGUAAGUUUAUCUUCUUUCAUUUCCUGUUGUUUCAGAUUCCUAAGUCGUUUAAACUAAUUGGAGGCAGAUUAUUUUUGGGAUAGUUUUGUGUUUUCAGCUUCUUACGAGCUUUCUGUUGAAUAUGCUUUAAAUACAUGUGCUCUUCUGUUUAGUUAUGGCAUAAAAUUUGAGUGUUUUAUCUAAUUUACGAUGUUGGCCCAAUGGUUGUUAGCGGAUUUAAAUUCUGGAGAUUAUCUCUGUGAUCUUAGUUUAUCUCGGCGUGAUUUGAGCUGUUUCAUCUCUAGACUGACUCAUUACACGGAUUUGGGGUUGGGGGAGGGUCAGUUGAAUUGAUGAUUUUAUCAUCCUUAGUUAAAAAGAAUGUGACUAUCAAACUUCAGUGCUUUUAACAUAUGCCUCGGUGGAAGUAAUUUGUUUUGAGAUAGGAAUGUCCAAAUAAAUGCUUCAAUCUAGUAAUUUUUUGAAUGUUCUGAUGAUUUUCUCUGGUUUUACUUCAGAGAGCUGUGCAAGGACCUGUUCAAGAAGUGGUCUAAUUUGGACGAGUCUCACUUCUCUGUUGAGAGAGUUUCCGGUGGCAUAACAAAUCUAUGUAGGUUUUCAGUUUUGUGUGCUUACGAGUAAUUAAGCCAUGAGCAAUGCUUGAUUUUAGUUGGAACUCUGUGUUGCUGCGAACACUGCUUGAAUUUACUUGGAACUUAGUGUGUCUGAUAUGCAUGAAAAUUACAGUGCCUGAUUUCUGGUUAUUAAUGUCAAUAUUUUUUUUUUCUCAAGUUUAAUUACGGUUGAAUUUUAUUUGAGUAAUAGUCAUUUACUUUUUGCAGUGCUAAAGGUUUCUGUUGUGGAAAAAAACGGGAAUAUUGUCAAUAUUACAGUAAGGUUGUAUGGUCCUAAUACUGAGUACGUCAUCAAUCGUGAAAGGGAACUACAGGUGAGUCCUCAGGCUUGAUGUUGACGUGAUCAACUCAAUGAGAUUAUUCAAUUAUCAAGUGCAAUACUUGUCUGCUUUAUUUUUAUUACAAUUCUGUAAAGCCGCUUUACACUGCUAAAAUUUGAAGUUGCAUUUGUUUCUGAUGUAGUGUCAGUAACUUCAGAUGAUGCUUCUUCUUUAAAACAAAACAGUUUAUCUUUCUAAAUUUUCUGCUGAUCAUUUCGAGAAAUUUCUACUAUUUUGUGUUGUCUUAGAGAUGCUAUGUAUUCAUACGCUCACAUUGUGAUAUUCUUUUUUAUUGCUUUACUGACAUAGUAAAAGAAACAAAAAGCUGUUACAAAGUGGUUGUCUUCAUGGGAGAAAUUCUGGGUUGGCUAUCGUGAUUUUUUUAUUCUUGGAAAUUCUUUAUCACUCUGGUACUGACUGCAAUAUAUUUUUAGGCUAUCCCAUACCUUUCAGCAGCAGGAUUUGGUGCAAAGUUACUUGGAAUAUUUGCGAAUGGAAUGGUGCAGUCAUUUAUUGAUGCACGAACUCUGGCUCCACCUGGUAAAUUUUUGGAAAUGCAUUGAAGGAAAUAAACAUUUUCCAAUUACAACUCACUUGACUCAAAUUAAAUGAACUUUAAUUCAUGCCAUCUGGGUUGGCUAUUGGUUGCAUGUACAAGAAAAUGUAAAAUUGCUCCUUUUCCUUUGGGAUUUGUUUAAACUCUUGAUUUUUAAUUCAGUUUGGGAACCUUUCUAAGUUGUUCUUCUGUCUGGAAAUAAAUUUCUAGUGGCUUCUGGUUUUCGAGCACGAGUAUAUGCACUCAAAAUGCAACUUUGGAGAACAAACAGAAAUGAGUUUUUUAGUCUAUAGGUUUAGGACAUAUGUAAAUGGUCCUUCGGUAAGUUCAUGCUAUUAUUAAAGAAAAGUGGACAUUAUUUUGGAUGAACUUAAUAAAAGCUCAGUACACAGUUUAACUGGGUUGGAGAGAGUAAUUCACUAGUCUAGGUACAUGGAUGAAAAUUGUAAGGAGCCACUGACCUGAAAUUAGUUUUGACAUUCAUCCUUGCUAUGGAAAGUUUGCCUUAAAUGAUGAAGUUUGACUUUUUAACAUGGUGUGUCAUUGUUGAUAUGUUUUACACUCUUGACAGACAUGAGAGAGCCAAAGCUAGCAGCUGAAAUUGCUAAACAACUUCGUAAGUUUCAUCAGGUGGAUAUACCAGGUUCUAAAGAACCUCAACUGUGGAAUGACAUCUUCAAAUUCUAUGGAAAAGGUCUAUACAUGGGAUGCUAUACAUCUAUAUCCAUAUUCUACUUCCUGAAGGUUUUUGCUCAUUUAAAAGCAUUAUGUCUGUCUUCCCUUGUUUUUGGUCAUGUCUGAGUUGCUUUUAUUGUUGAAUGCAGCGUCAAACCUCAACUUUGAUGAUUUUGAGGAGCAGAAGAAGUAUGAAACAAUUUCAUUUAAAGAAAUAAUUAGUGAAAUCAUUGAGCUCAAGGUAUUAUCUCCUCUGACUUCUUGUAUCAUCUGUAAUCCAAUAUGUUUCUCUUUCUUCCUCUUAUGGAACUGGGUGACUUAUCAUGACAUAUCUUUCUGUAUAAUAUCUUCUUGUCCAUAAAUUUUGGUGUAUGCGUUUUGCGAAGACUAUUGGCUAUGAUUGAGUGGUAGUGAACAUUGCAUAUGCAAAGGAAGAAUGAAAAUAUAUUGGUUUUUUUGUUAAGUUGGGUUUGAGAUUCUGAUGUUUGAUUAUAGCAAUCUUUGAGGAAUAUCUCUCUAGUAAUGCAGUCCGUUUUAUCAAGUUGAUGGCAUAUUGUCAUUAAAUUGUUGAAAAGUGUUUGUUUGGAUUGGUUAUUAUUUGCAAAAAAUUUUUGAUUGCAUCAUAGAUACGUUUCCAAUCACCUUUUAUCUUUCCAACCGCAUUUUUAUCUCAUAUAUCACAAAAAGUGUUACAGUGUUAUUUAAGAAAAUUUCCAAAUAAUCUACUAUCUGAACAGACGCAGCCACCUAAAAAGUUGUCAAAAUAGGAUUUCAUGCUGAAGUCAAAGCAUGGUUUGGCUUUUGAAUACACAUUUAUGAGUUUCUGAUGAUUUUUAAAUUUCCUUCUUCAAAUGUUUUUCCCUUUUUUUUUUUAUUUGAGUAUUCUUUUGGAAAUGUUUCUCUGUAGAUAUAUCAAUGGAGAAUGAUUCUUCCCUUUCCCGGAGUCAUGAAGUUAUCUGUGGCAUGAUAAGCUAUUAAUUUUUGCUUGAAACAAUUUCUGUUUUACACUGUUUAUUUUCCUUUGUAUCAAUUCUAAACCAGCAGUUUUGUAUAAAUUUUCUAAAAUAGAUAAUUUACUCGGCUCUAUGACAGAUUGAAUUUAGUUCUUUCUGUCAUUCAUCAUAAAAGUGUCCGUGUGUUGUGGCUAUGUCUUGGAGUCAAGCUUCAGUGUGGGAGCAUGUUACCCUGUUUAAAUCGAUACAGUAGUCUUCUCUCCAUAGGUUCAGUUUCACAUGAUGUGGUAAAUAUAUCUUUGUGGAACAGGAAUUGACUGGAUGUCUUGAUGCCCCAGUAGUCUAUGCUCAUAAUGACUUGCUUUCAGGAAAUUUGAUGCUUAAUGAUGAUGAAGGUAUUUAUGCCCAAACCUAAUGGUUUUUCUGUUGAGACUUCGCACCCCUUCCUAAUGUUUUCCUGUUGGGGGUGCUCUAUGUAUGCAUAAAUGUGCACACCCACAAAUUAACUCCCAUUUCCUUUGUUUCCAUUUAUUUGUUGUUUUCUAGAAACCUGGACAAGUUGCACCGCAUCAUUGCAUCUAUCCUUUUGCCUAAAAUGCAAUAUAUUAGUUAUGGGUUCAGUCCUGCAAGUUGAGAUACUGUAGGCUUGAGUUUUUCCAGCUAACUUAUAAAAUUCAUUAUGAAGCACAGGCCUCUGAAUCAUGUAUGAUAUUAAACUUGACUAGGAAAUAUCAGUUCUCUAGCUCAUUUGGCUUUGCUUGAUUGGCCACUGUCUAGUAGUGAAUGGGAACAUGUCGAAUAAGGAUUUUGGUCGAAAAUAGUCGUCUUUUUCUUAAGGGGUGAUGCGUAAAUGGUUCUUCAUGGGAAGUCUGGAGAUUAACCUAUUCUCAACAUUCAUUCUGAAUUAGUAGUUGAUACCACUAUUUCAAUUUGACCAAUGACUGUCUUUUGAUGAAUGUGCAGAAAGACUCUACAUCAUUGAUUUUGAGUAUGGAUCAUAUAGUUACAGAGGUUUUGACAUUGGGAAUCACUUUAACGAAUAUGCUGGCUAUGAUUGUGACUACAGCUUGUAUGUCAUUUCAAUCUUCUCUUCCACUCAUUUGAUGCUAUAAAAAACUUGAGGUGAUAUGGAAAAUUUAUCUGCAUGUAGGUGCCCAAACAAGGAUGAACAACAUCAUUUCUUCAGACACUAUUUAGACCCUGAAAGACCAGAGGAGGUAUGUGUUUACUGUAAACUCAUUGUACUUGCCAUUAACAAUUUUCUUUUUCAGGCUAUACAAAGUUGUGUGUUCUAAAAACUUAACCUAGAUAGGCUGUCUCCAACUCGUAAGAUGUGAGCAGAUCUCAUGGCUUGAUGGUUGUAUAUAUUGGUGAAUUGGAUUUUUUUUUGUUUCUUCCCACCUGAAAUACUAAAGUGGAUUUCUGCUAUGUAUUUUAGGAAGUUAACUGUGAUGGCUGUCAAAUGCCAAUUGCAGGGAGAUGAUUGUAUUUCUCCUUCUUCUUCUUGGCUUUACUCUAGCAGAAGUAUUGAUGACUGACUUGCUGUUGGUUAUGGACCUGGUCUUUGCUGCUACUUAAUUCAGUUUCUGUUACUUUAGGCUUUGUUACUACGCUGCUUUCAAAUAUCAUCCUUUGUAACACUAGUUCGAUUUUUUGUAUGUAAUCUGUACAAUUCAGCUUUGGUUACUAAAGUAUGGUAAAGUAGUUUGUACAUAUGUGGUUCAAGAUCAUUCUAUGUUGUUACCUUUAUCCCAUUCUGUUCUUUCAUCCACAUUAACCAAACCAGAUUGCAGAAUGAUUUGAGAUAUACAAUUAUUUCAUCAAGUAAAAGCAUUAUUGUCAAUUUGAAAAAUCACAUGUCCGGGAUUCAUAUAGGAAGAUGGACGAAUGUUUUAGUUACAAUAAGCAACUUGUCGUCAUAAGCAUUUGGGACAGUAAUGUGUUUCUGAUGUGAAUACGUAGGUGCUCUGACAAUUUUAUUUCUAGCUUCAUUGAUGGUUAACAUCUUUAGCAUAUAAGAAACUCGAAAUGUGUCUCACGAACUUUUUAUGCAAUUUGCUGAACAUGAAAUUAGUCAACUGAGUUGCCUUUGACAUCAGGUAUCUGACAAAGAUUUGGAAGCUCUUUAUAUCGAGACAAAUAUGUACAUGUUAGCAUCACACUUGUAUUGGGCGUUAUGGGCUUUAAUCCAGGUAAUAUUUCUUUGCCUUCAUUAGUGAGCGGUGUUUUCAGCAUCCCCUUGACUGCUGGAAUAAAUAUAGCGAAUGUAGGGAACAGUCAGAGUUGAAGAAAUUUUGUUUAACUAUUGAGUAUCACACUUUUCACAGGCAAAAAUGUCUCCAAUUGAUUUCGACUAUCUUGGUUAUUUUUUCUUGCGGUAUGGCGAGUUCAGAAGGCAGAAAGAAACCUGUUUCUCAUUGGCAAAAGCAUACUUGUCAAGAUCUCACACACGGUGAACCAUUGGUUUUACAAUUCUAGGUAUGCUGUGAUUCUUUUGUAUGUUGUGAAAGUCAUAGUAAAGCAGUAGAUCUCUCUUUGUUGUUGUUGUUGUUUGUCAGUUAGGACUUUAAAUAUUUCUUGUAGACUGGAAAACCAAUUGUGUUUUUCCAGAUAUUCGUAAUAAAAUUUUGUAGUAUUUCUUUUUCAUGCGUCAUAUUUGUUAUUGAUUAGUACUAGCCUUUCGGGGGCGCGUGUUGUCGAGACUUUCUGCGUUUUGAAAUUUCAUUCCUAUUUUUGUUUGCAUCGUGGGUUGAGGUAAAAUCUGUUUGUCACUCCGUUUGAAAGCUCGUGAUUUUGAACGUAGCACUUAGUGGCAUCUGGCUGGGAGACGACAAUCUUAAUUGCACAAUAAUGCCCCGAGGAUUCUGUCACAUGCGUAAUCAGCAUAUCUAGAAAUCUUUUUUCCCCAUUUCAAGGAGAUAGAAUCAACACUCUUAAAUCGUGAUGGAAGAAUAAAAAUUACCCUAGAAUGCCAGCAUGUAUGUAGCUACCGUAAGAAAAACGGGUUUUUAUUUUUAAUUACAACAAGAUCCUCUUUGAGAAGCCGCCCAGUCUCCUAGUCCUGAUAUGCUUCUAUGUCGAACUCUUAUGCCUCGAUCUUCUAACCCCUCAGAAUCUCCACCUUGGACGGUCUUAUGUAUCGCUAUGGCUGUGCUUACGAACGCUUCUUCAACAUUUUGAGCAGUCCUUGCUGAGCACUCGAUGAAUAUUAAACCAUGCUUCUGGGCAAAUUCUGAGCCUUCUUCGGUGCUGACGGCCCUACUGCCAUCCAAGUCAGACUUGUUGCCUAUCAGCAUUAUGGUCAUGUUUUUGUUAGCAAGUUCCUUGAGGUCCUUCAACCAAGAAGCAAGAUGAGCAAAACUUUCCCUGCUCGUGACAUCAUAAACUAGGACUGCCCCAGCAGCACCUCUGUAGAAACUCUGCGUUAUUGACCUGAACUUCUCCUGGCCUGCCGUGCCCCACACGUGAAGUUUUGUUUUCUUCUUGUCCGCUCUGAUGAUUCUAGUUCCAAACUCAGCACCCAUGGUCGGAUCGUGCCCCUGUUCAAAUCGUUUGCUGGUGAACUGCUUAAGAAGGCACGAUUUACCAACUCCGGCAUCUCCUAUUACAAUGUAUUUGAAGAGAUAAUCGUACGACAUCUUGGAUCGAAUUGGAAUAAUGCACGAGUAUUAGCAACGGCUGGAGGUUGUAUGUAUAGGUUGAAACUAGAGGAGAUACAUGGGUUUAUGUACUGGAAUAGAAGAGAGAAUUUACUCCUUCCUAUACGUACAAGGAUCCUAACGUAAAUCGGAGAUGGAUUAGGAGACGUCAGAGUUGGAGAGACCAUCGUUAAGGAUUCAUUAUUGUGUUGGUUUACGUUUUUUUUUUUCUGGAAAAUCGAUUCCCUCCUAGAAAAGGAUUUGCACAAUCAAAGAAGUUUGUAAUUCGAUGGUAGUUCAAUCCAUCUGCACAAUCAAAGAAGUUUGUAAUUCGAUGGUAGUUCAAUCCAUCGACUCCGUUAUAGGUUCAAUUGACUCUCCUCUAAAUUAGACUAGAAUAGAAAUAGAAUAGAUAAAUGACGAAUGACAAAAAAACAAACAGUGUGUAGUAACACUGUUGUUCUGUAGGAUGCGAUGCUAUACUUAAGCAUGCUUCCUUGGCAUUUUUAUUUUUUAAACCCUUCCACCCAUUUCCACAUCCUUUUCACGUCCAAUUGCUAAGCAUAGAAUUUGAACCCUAAACCCAAGAAAUAACUGUAAGAACCCUUCCCUGAUCAUUGAGCUAAACAUGCUUGAUAUUAAGCAGGCUCAAUUGAAAAAAAAAAUCCAAUUCUUAUUCAUGAAACGAGUAUAAAGAAGGAUAUCCAAAUUAUCUAUUUGCCUUUACGUAUUUUAAUACCACAAUUAAUAUGAUCAGGUAUUUGCUGAAGAAGAAAGCGGCAUAUAUUUAACCAUUCUACCCAGAAAAUUUCCAAGAACUUUUCCUGCCACAACAUUUUGUAGCUUAGAGAAGCAAAAAUGAGAGAUUAACAUCUAAUAGUUUAAUUAAUAUUCAACUAGGCUCACAUUAAACAUCCCAUUUGAAUCAGACGCAUUAAACAUCCAAUUUGGCUCAAAAGCCAAGCACCAUAUAAGCCGGGAAAUCAUGACAGGCCAAGAGGCCACGGCACCGAUGCUAACUAAUGGAAUUGCAAUAUGUACAACAGAAUGAAGACUUUAACCAGUUUGAGAUGCCGCAUCCAUACGUAGAACAACCAUGUAUCACAAAACCUUUGCUCUGCUUCUUCAGUCUAACAAGUAAAACCACCAUUGUUAUCUACCCAGAGUCUAGAGAGGACAGAACUAAAUUAAUCAUACAUCUACGAGGACAAACCUUGCUUGUCAAAAGCCAUAUAGUUAAGAGCAUAUCAAAUUGGGGAAGCAAAUAAGGAUAUAAAUAUUUUGAACCAUUUCUAUUUUCCAAGUGUAGUUACAAUCUUCAAGCCUGAAGAACCUGGCAAUGAACUAUAUGAUGUUUAACACGAUUCCUACCUGCAAGGCCUGACAAGAAAUUUGUAACCAAAGUCUUCAACUGCCCUUUUCCCGAAAUAGUUUCCCAUAAAUGUUCCGCUGGGGCUCCACUCCUACUGUCAUCAGAUU
rnacentral:lncRNA from 1 species